AGAGAGAGACAUGCGCGCAUAUCAAUAAGCGGAGGAAAAGAAACUAACAAGGAUUCCCCUAGUAACGGCGAGUGAAGCGGGAAGAGCUCAAAUUUGAAAUCUUAAAGGGUUUCCCUUUACGAAUUGUAGUUUAAAGAAGUGUUUUCUGUUGAGGUUUUGGUAAAAGUUCUUUGGAAUAGGACAUCAUAGAGGGUGAGAAUCCCGUAUUUGACCUUUACUUUCAACUUUGUGAUACACUUUCAAAGAGUCGGAUUGUUUGGGAAUGCAGUCCAAAAUGGGUGGUAAAUUUCAUCUAAAGCUAAAUAUUGGCGAGAGACCGAUAGCGAACAAGUACCGUGAGGGAAAGAUGAAAAGAACUUUGAAAAGAGAGUUAAACAGUACGUGAAAUUGUCAAAAGGGAAGCGUUUGACUACCAGUGUUGUUUUUCUGAAAAUCAACUAAAGAACUGUUUAUGCUUAAGUUGUUUAGACUUUAUCAGCUAACUGUUUAGUUUUGAGCUUUUCUUUAAUGCACUUUUCAGUUAACAAGUCAACAUCAAUUUCUUUUGCUGUAAAAAAGCUUGAGGAAGGUGGCUUGAGAUUCGUCUUAAGUGUUUAUAGCCUCUUGCCUAUGCAGUCGGAGAGAUUGAGGUCUGCAGCGUAGAUCCUUCGGGGCUAAAUGCAUUUGUGCUAAGUUAUAGCAUUUUAUAGACAACUUGUUGACUAUGAUUUGUCUUGUAGCUUACUCGCUUAUGUUAUUUUACCUACGCUUAGGAUGUUGAGCGCAUGUCUCUCUCU
rnacentral:rRNA from 1 species